UCCCUAGUGGUCUAGUGGUUAAGACUCUGCGGUUUCACUGCAGGGGCACAGGUUCCAUCCCUGAUCAGAGAG
rnacentral:tRNA from 1 species